rnacentral:rRNA from 1 species
GGGAGGCAGCAGUGGGGAAUAUUGCGCAAUGGGCGAAAGCCUUACGCAGCGACGCCGCGUGAGGGAUGAAGGUUCUCGGAUCGUAAACCUCUGUCAGGGGGGAAGAAACCCCCUCGUGUGAAUAAUGCGAGGGCUUGACGGUACCCCCAAAGGAAGCACCGGCUAACUCCGUGCCAGCAGCCGCGGUAAUACGGAGGGUGCAAGCGUUAAUCGGAAUCACUGGGCGUAAAGCGCACGUAGGCGGCUUGGUAAGUCGGGGGUGAAAUCCCACAGCCCAACUGUGGAACUGCCUUUGAUACUGCCAGGCUUGAGUACCGGAGAGGGUGGCGGAAUUCCAGGUGUAGGAGUGAAAUCCGUAGAUAUCUGGAGGAACACCGGUGGCGAAGGCGGCCACCUGGACGGUAACUGACGCUGAGGUGCGAAAGCGUGGGUAGCAAACAGGAUUAGAUACCCUGGUAGUC